AUUGAACGCUGGCGGCAGGCCUAACACAUGCAAGUCGAGCGGAUGAAGGGAGCUUGCUCCUGGAUUCAGCGGCGGACGGGUGAGUAAUGCCUAGGAAUCUGCCUGGUAGUGGGGAUAACGUCCGGAAACGGGCGCUAAUACCGCAUACGUCCUGAGGGAGAAAGUGGGGGAUCUUCGGACCUCACGCUCUCAGAUGAGCCUAGGUCGGAUUAGCUAGUUGGUGGGGUAAAGGCCUACCAAGGCGACGAUCCGUAACUGGUCUGAGAGGAUGAUCAGUCACACUGGAACUGAGACACGGUCCAGACUCCUACGGGAGGCAGCAGUGGGGAAUAUUGGACAAAGGGCGAAAGCCUGAUCCAGCCAUGCCGCGUGUGUGAAGAAGGUCUUCGGAUUGUAAAGCACUUUAAGUUGGGAGGAAGGGCAGUAAGUUAAUACCUUGCUGUUUUGACGUUACCAACAGAAUAAGCACCGGCUAACUUCGUG
rnacentral:rRNA from 1 species